rnacentral:tRNA from 1 species
GCCGGCAUAGCACAGGGGUAAUGCGUUCCACUCGUACUUGAUAAAUGAGUGUGAUGGAAAGAUCGCUGGUUCGAUUCCAGCUGUCGGCA